CUACUCUAUUCAUAUUCCUUUUUUCUAUUCUGUUCAAAUUAAUAUCAUUUGAUUGGUUUAACAUGAUUCAGAUAGAAGAUGUAACUUGAGUAUUCUGUUGUUUCAGAGCUUAAUUCUUCAAAAAGACAGGGAAACAAGAGCAAUGUUUGCAAAUCAGGCACUAAUAGCAAAAAGAAUGUCCUCCCAUAGAUAAGCUGAAAUGAACUACGAUGCAAUACAGCAUAUGAGGCCUCAAAAAAGAUGUUUGUUUUAACCAUUGGCUCAAACAAGAUGUGACAGAAACAAAGUCAGAGGGACUCAUUUCAAAGUUGGUGCACAAUGGUGUCAGAUAGUCAAAAAACGAUGUGCAUACAAGUGAGUGAAUUCUUCUACCACAACAAUAUACUAGAGAAUCCACAUCAUUUUACUGGAUCAGAUUAUAACAACAGUAUAUCAGGUACGAAAUUUUUUUUGAGGAUCUCAUCAGUUACCUCAAUGGAUCUUCCACCAAUUUUAUUGUACAUAUUAGAGUUUCAUAAGAUAUGCAUAUUAAUUUUUGUGGCCGUACGUAGUACGGGACAGAACACUAAUUAAAACUAUAAAGCAAAGGCUUUAACUGCUAGGAUUUUGUUUUUGGUGUAGUGUGGUGUUUGUAAAUUCUCCUCCUAACCCGUAGGCGCGAGUUCAAUUCUCCCUCAACCUGUAUGUUUGAUCCGAGUCUAAACGGGUACCCAAACCCCUAGGAUCGUGGCUGAUAUAUAUGGUUAUGGUUUGUAAAGCACUUAAACAGGUAUUUUUGGUGUAGUGUGGUGUUUUCUUUAGACAGUAUAUAGAUUCGGAUCGGCACAGAAAAUAUCUGAUCCGAGUCUAAACGGGUACCCAAACGCCUAGGCUUAAUAAGAACCUAAGCCUUUCAAACUUAAAGAAAACUUCUUGUAAGACUUCGCUUGAUUAGUCUGAAAAGUAAAAAAAAAAUAUAUAUAUAUAUAUAUAUAUAUAUAUAUAUUGUAUUUUUAAGAAUGUUCUGAGAUACGAUAGCUAAAUAAGUCUUUCAUAUUCUUUUAUUUUUUUUGGUUGAAGUCUUUCAUAAUUUAUGGAAUGAUAUUAAUGACAUCAAAAUAAAUAUUAUAUGUAAACCAAUUUGAAAUAACAAAAAAGCUUAGCUACCAUUAAAAUGUAAGGUUGUUGUCACUGUCUGAUAUAAAACGAAUCGUGGUCUCUCAAUGGAUACUGGCGGGACUUGGGGCUCGUAAAGACAAGUAAAACGUCUCCCUCUUGAUGGCUGUGUAUACAUGUAACAGUCUAACAGAUGUACUCCUCAAUCUGAUAUUUAUAUAUUAUGGUCAUCGACCGACGGUAUCCUUUUUCUUAAAUAUAUGUGAAUUUGUAAGAAAGAGUUUUGGUCGUAGAAGUUUCACUGAAAAAUAAUCACAAGUUUAUUUCAAUUUCUUGUCAUCUCUAUAUAUCAGUUCCACUUCAAAUCUUUUAUAAACGAGAACUAAAGCCUAUUUUCUUUUGCUUGAUGAUAAAUUAAGAGCCUGAAACUGACUGAGAAUUAAUUUGGGGAAUUGGAACAUGAUUUUUUGUGGAAUCUAAUGAUUCUAAUAGUUGAAAGAAUUUUACCAGUUAACAAGAUUUAACAAAUUUUACCAAAAAUUUUUACAUGAACUUUUAUUACUUGUGUAUAAAAUUCUAUUGAUUGUUAUUAACUUUUAAAGUAAGAAAUUGAUGGUGGUAGGGAAAAGGGAAUGAGAAUCAUUUCAAUUACUUCGUUCUCAACAAAUUAUGGUAAGAGCCCAGAUUUUUUGAGUUUUUCAAAAAAUUUAUGUAACUUCGAAUUUUUCAAAUACUAAUAAAGAAUACGUUAUGAUGACAUGUUUUUUUUCUUACACAUCUCAUAUAGUUUUCUAUCUUUUGUUUAUUUAUUAACAAAUAUAUAUAUAUAUAUUACUAUUAGUGGUUGUUUAGUAGUUUAUGCUCAUUUAGCUUUGUAUAGUUUGUUAUUUGUUUUGGUUUGAGUCGUACAUGUAAAAUUAUAGAAAAGAACUGAAAUUGUGUUAAUGUUAAAGUUGUGAUUUGUAUUAUUUUAUUAUUCAAUUUUGUGUGGUUUUGUAUAUGAGUGUAUUUUACUAAAUAGGUUUCAAAAAUUUUAUGUGUGUAGAUGACAUUCUCAAAGUUGAGUUUUAUGAGUAAAAACAAAGAAAAUUUACAUUCCAAUAACAAUAGAUUUUAAUGAAAAGUAAAAUUUUCCAGUAACAAAAAAAUUUGAGUGGAAUUUAAAAGUCUCACACCCCAAUAACAAUGGAUUUUAUUCAGAUUUUAAAAAUUUAUAAACCAAUAACAACGGAAUCUCAAAAUUUAAUAAUUUCUCUACAAUUCUACUACCAAUAACUGUUAGCUAUUUGUGAAUUCAUAGUUUACGAAACUAAUAUUUAUUUGAGGAUGAAUUAUUCUCAUUUGUAUUUAUAUUAGUUUAGAAAUAUUAUUCAUAUACUUCCAUUUCUGUAUUAAACUAUAUAUCUUGUAACUUAUUUUGUCAUGAGGGUUAUGAAUAACGCCCAUGACAAUUAUCUCAGUAAACAUUAAGUAAACACGUUCCCUUCACAGACAUAAAUAAUUACUUGCUAUCAAUCUGUCAUCACCGAUUUAUCACUUUGUUUCAUAUUGAAAUUUUCAAAUCCAAUACAUUGACUUUUAUUAAAACUCCUUAUGAAAAAGACAUCUCGAAAUAUAACUAAGUUAAAUUAAAUUAAGUUAAAUUAAAAUGUUAUGGACACAAUCGAUCACUAAUAAUGUACUUUUGUCGAUUUGUUUAUCGUUAUAUCAAUUUAGUUAACAACCCUUUAAAACUAAACAUCAUCACAGUUGGCAUUAAGUAAACUGUUCCAUUCACAGAGAUCAAUCUUGUCCAAGUUAGUGCCAUGCGUCUUCUUCUAGAUGUUUUCGAGUUGAUGUGAGGCCGUAAUAUUUAGCUAUACAAAAAUUAAGAAGCCAAUUAAUGUAAUAUCUAAACAAGCCAAUAAACUUUAGACACUGAAAUAAUGAGGUAGUGAAGACAAUCAGAAAAAGAUGAAACAUUCAGUUGAACUGAACAUGUUUUGCUUCUUCACUUGUUCUGGUAGUUAGAUCAAUAUAUAUAUUAGUAUUAUAAAUUAAAAACGCGUGACUAAAAAGGUUCUAAUUGCAAUAUAGCCCAAUUUUCUUUUUCUUUUUUUUUGUCAAACCCCGAUUUUCUUUCUUAUAUCUCUGAAAUAAUAUAUAAUCUUGAAAAAUAACUAAAAAGCUAUACUUUAAAAUGGAAAAGAUUGACAAGAAAUUGAUCUUAUUGCUUUGUGGUAUACCAGAUUUGAAGAAAUAGAUUUAUAAUCUUCAAAUGAACUCAAGAGGGUUGACCUUGUGUUCAUUAAUUUUAUUUGAUAUACCUAUGCUUAAGUCUGAAUUAGCCAGUCCUCUUUUUUUAUGAAAGUUUUGUAAUGAUAGUUUAGAUUCUUCAUUUUUGUUUAAGAAACUCCGCUUAAAAUUAAACGAGACGCCAGAACAGUGAAAUACUUAUAGUCCAGAUGCAAAAAAUUGUUAAAAUGAUUUCUGUUUGUGUGUAAACUUUUUUUACAUAAGAAAAACCAAAUAUUUUGUUUUUCAUAUAACCAUUAGAUUAACUUGCGCAGAACGGAAGUAUUAUAGUCUUAGUUUGUUUGUCUUGUGAUAUGCAUUUAGAGUAUUAAAUAUACAUGUUUAUAUGUUAAAGUAAUAUUUAUGAUAAAAACACAGUAUGUUGUUUUUCAUAAUCAACCAUCAUUUUCCACUUACAGUAAAUGGAAAUAAUUAUUUUCUUGUAUAGUUGAGUUUUGAUUUUGCAUUUAAUUUUGAAGAAAUAAAAUGCUGGUAAAACAGUAUCAAAUAUAUAAUUUAUUGCAUAUACACUACAAGAAAACACACAACAUUCUGACGGACAAUAUUUUCGUCGGUUUUCUUUGAUGACAUUCCGACGAGAUACCGACGAAACAUAUAAUUUCAUGUUCGUCGGUAUUUCGUCGAAAAAUUCUGACGAAAUACCGACGUAAGUCAGGUUGUCGGAAAUAUCCGACAAAAUUCCGACAGAAUAUUAUAAUUUUGUGGUUUCGAUAGGGAUUUGAAGUUCGUCAGAAUUCCAUCGAAAUAUUCCGACGGAAAUCCGACGGGUUUUUGACUUUCGUCGGAAUGUCGUCGGAAUUUUCUACGACGAAACAGAUUUUAGAUUUGCAAAGUUAUUAUAAAUGUAUAAUUUGAUACUUAAAAUAUCCAAAUAACACAUUUAUAAAUUUAUAAUAUGAAAUUAGUUCACACCGUUAAAGUUUUUCAUAUAAAAAAAUUAUUUACGUAUACAUAUCAACGUAUUCGUAACAUCCUCCAAUAACACUUAUAUACUUAUACAAACAUAUUACGGUAAUAUAAGAGUAGAUUUUGAUUUUGUAUAAUAUCGAGUGAAACAAGUAAUUAUUUUUGUUAAACCUCUUAUAAAUCAUUUACAUACUAUCAAAUAUUUCUAUGUGAUCGUUAGACUGUUGUUUUGAAACCUCAAAUUCUUAUUUCUCUAAAUUCCGUCGGAAAUCCGUCGAAAAUUCCAACCAUAUUCCGACGGAAAAUACCGACAAAAUUCCGACGGACUCUAACCCCGACCAAUCAAAAGACAUGCAGAAACUCAUAGUUUCUCGAGGCUUCCUUUGGCGAUAUUCUCGAAACAUUCCAACGGAAUUCCGACGAAAUAAAUGUGACGAACAGGUUUCGUCGGAAUUUCGUCGGACUUUUUCACUUUACCCGGGAAGAGAAUUUGCGAAAUUUAUAUGAUUAACCGCUUAAAAUAGAACCGACCGAAUUCUGACGGAAACUCUCCGUCGGUUUAUUUUUAAUACAUAAACCGACCCUUCUUCUUCUUCCUCAUUUUUUCUCUUCUCCUCUGCAAUCUUUGCGGUCUUACUCCUCUCUCUCUCUCUCACAAAUCUGUGACUCCGACCCCAAAUCCUCCAAAUCUCUUCCUCAAUCAUGAACGUAUGGGUCAGUUAGUAGACGCACAAAAAGAAGUAACAAUUACUUCAGAAGCGUCAGAGAGGGAACUUGAACUCGAAGCACAACUCGUCGAGACACGCAGUAUUAUUCAAGAACAGGAAUCUAUAAUGUCUAAGCAUUUGCCAAAGACAGACCGGAGAAGAAACUCAGCUCCUCCUUCACAGUCUCUCAGUGGACUUCGUGGCUGACUUAGAUUGUGGACCUCUCUGGUGCAAAAUAUAUCAAAUCUCUUAACAAGGAAAUGUCUCAUGUCUUUUAUAAUCAAUUUACAGAAGAGUUUAUAUGAAUUAUUAAUGGAUGUGGAUUCGUAUUUGUAACAUUGUACAGAAGAACAUCUCGGUUGUUUAUUUUUGGAGAUAGUUACAUGAUAAGACACUUUUCUAAUCAAUAACAAUUUGGGUACUUUCCGACA